CAGCCGCCGCGGUAAUACGAAGGGGGCUAGCGUUGCUCGGAAUGACUGGGCGUAAAGGGCGCGUAGGCGGAUGGCACAGUCAGAUGUGAAAUCCCCGGGCUUAACCUGGGAACUGCGCUUGUGACUGCACAGCUAGUGUAUGGCAGAGGGGGUGGAAUUCCACGUGCAGCAGUGAAAUGCGUAGAGAUGUGGAGGAACACCGAUGGCGAAGGCAGCCCCCUGGGCCAAUACUGACGCUCAUGCACGAAAGCGUGGGGAGCAAACAGGAUUAGAUACCCCAGUAGUCCCUGUCUCUUAUACA
rnacentral:rRNA from 1 species